ensembl:lncRNA uncharacterized LOC110255990
GAGUAUAGAAUGGCUAUAUGCCAACCAUAGAGAUGGGAGUCAAGGAAAGACUGAGAGUCGUUCAAAUCCUAAAUCCUUCUGAUUUCUUUCCCCACCCAGAACACCGGCCUGUAAUUAGUGCCUGUCUCUGUAGUACGCAAAACCAAACUUUAUAAACUACAGGGCGCAAGUAAUGCCUAAUCUGUUUGAGAUGCUCUGUGUCAGGAUCUAGGCUAGCUGAGGCGGCAAAGUAGCCUUGUCCCUGAAUUUAAGGCUACUUUUGAACUCUAAGGAGAGAAGGCCUAACUUUGCACAAACUCUAGUGUGCAGGCCGUGUCCGAGCCCAGCUCAGCUGAUCAGCGUGACCUUGGAGGAGCUGCUUGCCAUCUUCACCAGUGUGCUGGGGCGCUCGCCCUUUCUCCUUGUUGUUUCCCAUCACGACGUGGCCGUCAGGGGUUCCAAGAAGCUGGAAUGAGAGUAGUGCCUUCUCCGCCUCCAGGAUGUAAUCUGAGGGUGCUGACUGAGGUCUCUGGGGGGCUUGUUUGGGCUGGAACAUCCGAAACGGCUCACCCAGGUGGCAGGUGGCCCAGAGCGAUUCAUUGGAACAACUCGCUUCUCCCCACGUGACCUGAGUUUGGCUUGGGCUUCUCCCAGCAUGGCAGCUGGCUUCCAAGAGGAAGCCUCCCAGAGCAAGUCGUCUACAAGGAAGGAAAUGGAAGUUGCCAAGCCUCCUAACCCUGGGCUGGGAAAUCCUAGAAUGCCGCUUCUGGUCAAAACCAGUCAGGGGUCAGUCCAGGUUCAAAGGGAAGGGAAACAGCCCUCCCUUUGGAGGGGAAGAGCCACCUGCGCAUAUACAGAGGGCAAGUAUUGUUUGCGAUCGCCUUGGGAAACUAGCUCCCGCCACAGAGUAGAGCGCCUGGCCUCACCUGGGUAGGUGCACAGUCAGGGGAGGGUCACCACAUCUUAGCACAUCGGCCCCUCUUGCAAGGCUGGCCCUCCUUCCUAAUGGAUCACCCGCUCUAUGGUCCUGGCAGUGAGAACGGCUGAAACUAAGCAGGAGCUGGGAAUUAGGGACGUGAAGAAAUGCAGAAACAAGGGAAGUGCAGUUAAACGAGAAGAGAAAUGACUUUCAUUCAGGGAUCAGCGUCCUUGCUCCUCCUCAAGGGAUAUACGUAAUAGUACAUCAUCGGACUCAGAUCUCCGAGUUGUUCUGCAGGAACUGAGACUUGCCCACCCAGGGGGAUGGUGAACCCUAGCAGGCAGACCCCGCACCCGACGGAGGAUGACGAUUCCUGAAACAUCACCCUGUUACCUCAUCACCAACCAAUCAGAAGAACGUCGUGCACCCUGCAGCCCUCCCCCUAAAGGCUGCUCUGAAAAACCUUUCCCUCCGGGCGUUCAGGUUUUUUGAGCUUGAGCCACCCAUACCCCAUGCUUGGCGCCCUGCAAAUAAACACCAUACGUUCCUUCAUCACAACCCCUCUCAGUAAAUUGGCUUUGUGGCACGGCUGGCAAGCCGACCCGAGUUCAGUUCGGUAAAACUGUCCUUUAAACAUUUGAUAAACUGCUGUUGAAUUCCUUC